CGAGAGUGCAGCUAGGCUGACACCCUGAACGCAGCCUGGGGACCCUGAGCAGAAGACCCCGCUGAGUCAUGCCCACGCUCCUGACCACAGAAGCUGUCAGAUAAUAAGUGUGUGUUGUUUUAAGCCACUGAGUGUACGCUUAUCUGUCACGUAGCAAUAGAUAACGACUACACCCACGUACACCAGCUUCAUCUUCUUUUAAUAUAUUUACCUUCAUUCUGAUAAUACAAAAAUACGUUAUUAUAGAAAAUAUGGAAAAGGUAAAAGUAUAAAGAAGAAAAUAAAAAUAGCCCACACUAUCUCAUGUUACUUAAGUGCUUACUAUGUGCCAGGCAGGUGACAGUGCACCGUCCCCAAUGCAGUCCUGGCAAGAGCCCCCUCGGGGAAUGAGGCUCAGAGAGGAUGAAAGGCUGGUCUGAAGUCAGAUGGCUGGUAAAGUAGGGGCCCAGGAGGCGAGCCAGUGUUGGCCUGAUUUUAUCACCAGCACUUUCACCCACUGUAUCAGAGGUUCUCUGAGUUUUUUUGUGUUUGAGCCACACUUUCAGACAGAAUUUUGGCAGCAUACUUGAACGGAUUUUAAGAUUUGAAAUGGCAUUACACAAAUCUGGGGGGGAAGAAACCCAUAACCAUGAUUACAUUUUAACAAUGUCUCCAAGAGUCCAUGAAAGCAUCCAGCUGUCGCACAAUUUACUUGGUGGCCUCGCCUUUUUGUGUCUUUGUUUAAGUAGACUGCUUUCUAGCUGAGGCCGUAUUCUAAUGUAGACCCCUGAAGCAAACUUUGUGGGUUUUCCAGGAACCUGUCUUUGGCACUGGCUUGACUUUUGGCCACGCCAUUUACCUGUCACUUACAGCGACUAGCCUCUCACCCCACGCAGAGUUGUGCUCUGCUCUUUUCAUGACAACAAUGACAGCACGAGCUAACGCUCACUGAGCACUGAGUAUAUGGCCGUCACACUAAUGACGUCCAGUGAGGACCUGUGUUGGGAAGACUUGAGAAUGGCUCUGCCCUUGAUGUGUUUUAUAAAAUAAGAUUUGAUGUUUUCUUCCAUUAAAAUUAGCUGAUAUUUACACCCAGAGUGUGCCAAGCCCCACGCUAUAUUAUUUCAUUAUUAUGCACGGUUUCAUUUCAUCCUAGCACCAACCCAGUGAAGGGUUCUUUUGUCCUCAUUUGGCAGGGAAGGAAAUGGAAGCUCGGGACGGUAAGUCGACGGCUCAGCCGGGUGAGCAGGAGCACGGCUUUGGGGUCAGGCGGUCUCCCCCGAGGGCGCGCUCUUAUCUGGCCUGCUGGACUCUUUCCCAUCAGGCCUUUGCCCUCCUUACAGUCUCAGACGUGCUUGCAGUAUUCGAGUUGGCGGGGUUGGUGCUUGCAGUAUUCGAGUUGGCGGGGUUUGCAACUUUGUGAAGGAAUAAAUGCAGGUCGGGAGUCCAGGCACUAAAAAUGUUCGUCCCCGCCUCUAACUUGUCCUUGUAAGGCCUUUUGCACCCCGUUGUUGUUCAGCAUCGACACCCUGGAUUUACUGGGUAGAGAGUCACAGUAGCAUUCCUGGGCUGGCUCCAGGCUUGAGGUCAGCUGGGACCCUGGGUGGUUCUUUGCAAAGGUAAGGGUCAGGUCUGGGGUUCUCUCAGCCUCCUCAAGCCUCCAGGCAAGUUCUCUGUCACUGCUGAUCUCCUUGGCACGAUGACACGUCUGAUCAGGCACACCGGAGAACGCCCACUUUGGCUUCAGAAGGGUCUACCUCCCACUCCCACCUGGAUUCAACUCUCGACCCCAUCCACGAGAGACCUAUUACCAGGAUUUCUUCUUGUAGGUGGGCUGAUGUGGAAACGUGGGGAGGACCGGGGAACAGUAAGAGGGAUGCUGGCCAGCAGAUCCCUGCCUGGGUGCCUACAGUCGGACACUUUGAACAGGCCCUCGGGACUGGAAGAAAUCAUGCACUGCAGGCGCUCCCCUCUUCCAGAAUCUAAAAGCACAGUGCAGAAGCAAACCAACCCCAUCACCUAUCACCCUGUGGCAGUCCCUUGAUAAUGAUCCAAGAAAAUCCAUUUCCGUUGAAGGAUACAUUGGAGAACUCGCCCUGUUCUCAAGGGCCACCAGCCGGAAGCAGAGCAGGGAAUGCAAUGAUGCUUCGAAUAAGGCCUCUCUGUGGAUGGGCAGCACCUGCGUGUUGGGCAAGGUGGAAUGUUAAUAACCUUGACCCCAGAUGGAAAUCUGCAAGGGUCAGACUCUGCCACACCCUUGGAGGCCUAUGUCUGACUGAGCUUCUACUGAACUUUGGGCCACUUAGGCCCCUCCGUUGCUUUUUCAUCUGAAGACACAGGAAGGGUCAAGCCUCCAUCUUCUGAGAAUCAAUGGCCAAGGGGCACGGAGCGGGGAGGGGCUGGUUUUUAUCAUGAAUCUAUGAUUUUAUUUUCCACUGAACAUCACAAGAAUGGACCCUCUGAACCACGGCUCUUGCUGCUGCUGCUGCUGAUGAGCUUUUUGGAACGCCACGAUGCAUCUCCAGAGCUAAUCUCCCAGCCUAUCCCACGGAAGCGCAAGAGCUCUGGGGAGCGUAAGCCCUGGGGUCCAGGUCCACCGCCCUGCCUCUGAGCUGAAGGGGGCUGUCCCAGCUCCUUCCUUCAUCCAUCGAGCCGGCCCAUCCCCUCCAACCCCAGGAGCCUGCAUUUCAGUCUCUCCUCCUCCAGCUUUGGCACA
rnacentral:lncRNA from 1 species